UGGGGAAUUUUGCGCAAUGGGGGAAACCCUGACGCAGCAACGCCGCGUGGAGGAUGAAGUACUUCGGUACGUAAACUCCUUUCGAUCGGGACGAUUAUGACGGUACCGGAAGAAGAAGCCCCGGCUAACUUCGUGCCAGCAGCCGCGGUAAUACGAGGGGGGCAAGCGUUGUUCGGAAUUAUUGGGCGUAAAGGGUGCGUAGGCGGUUUGGUAAGUCUUGUGUGAAAUCUCCGGGCUCAACUCGGAGUCUGCAUAGGAAACUGCCGGGCUUGAGUGUGGGAGAGGUGAGUGGAAUUUCCGGUGUAGCGGUGAAAUGCGUAGAUAUCGGAAGGAACACCUGUGGCGAAAGCGGCUCACUGGACCACAACUGACGCUGAUGCACGAAAGCUAGGGGAGCAAACAGGAUUAGAUACCCCCGUAGUCC
rnacentral:rRNA from 1 species